rnacentral:rRNA from 1 species
UACGUAGGGUGCAAGCGUUGCCCGGAUUUAUUGGGCGUAAAGAGCUCGUAGGCGGUGUGUCGCGUCGGCCGUGAAAACCUGCAGCUUAACUGUGGGCUUGCGGUCGAUACGGGCAUCACUGGAGUUCGGCAGGGGAGACUGGAAUUCCUGGUGUAGCGGUGAAAUGCGCAGAUAUCAGGAGGAACACCGGUGGCGAAGGCGGGUCUCUGGGCCGAAACUGACGCUGAGGAGCGAAAGCGUGGGGAGCAAACAGG